CUCACGAUUUAGCCUAGGGGUUCUGCAAUUAGUUUUAUAAUUAGUUCAUGUUUAGUCUUUCUAAUUACCAUCCGAAUAUUCGAUGUGACACGGACUAAAUUUUAGCCCCAGGAUCCAAACACCCAGUUUCGCCACGCAUGCAGAGGUUAAACUGCUCGGCCAUGAGCUUUACCAGACACCCUCAACCUUGCAAGGAACCACCCAUCAUCAGUUUUCACUUUUCAGUGCAAGGAACGUUUAUUUUACUCAUUGCAAAGGGACUGAGCUGUCUCCUGCGCCCCUCAUCUAGUUGCCUUGUAUCGUCUCAGUGGUUCAGGGCCUUGGCUGUUUAUUUUGAUGAA